rnacentral:rRNA from 1 species
GUCGUGCGAGAAAGGGACUUCGGUCCUGAGUACAGCGGCGCACGGGUGAGUAACGCGUGGGUAACCUACCUCGAAGUUGGGAAUAACCCGGGGAAACCUGGGCUAAUGCCGAAUGAGCCUACGAGCUCCUCGGAUCAUGUGGGAAAAGAUGGCCUCUGCUUGCAAGCUAUCGCUUUGAGAUGGGCCCGCGUCCCAUUAGCUAGUUGGUGAGGUAAUGGCUCACCAAGGCUCCGAUGGGUAGCUGGUCUGAGAGGACGAUCAGCCACACUGGAACUGAGACACGGUCCAGACUCCUACGGGAGGCAGCAGUCGGGAAUCUUGGGCAAUGGGCGCAAGCCUGACCCGGCGACGCCGCGUGAGGGAUGAAGGCCUUCGGGUCGUAAACCUCUGUCAGGAGGGAAGAACGUCGGCGAGGUGAACAAUCUCGUUGGUUGACGGUACCUCCAAAGGAAGCGCCGGCUAACUCCGUGCCAGCAGCCGCGGUAAUACGGAGGGCGCAAGCGUUGUUCGGAAUCACUGGGCGUAAAGCGCGUGUAGGCGGCCGGGCAAGUCGGUUGUGAAAUCCCGAGGCUCAACCUCGGAACUGCAUUCGAAACUGCUCGGCUCGAGUCCCGGAGAGGAUGGCGGAAUUCCCGGUGUAGGGGUGAAAUCCGUAGAUAUCGGGAGGAACACCAGCGGCGAAGGCGGCCAUCUGGACGGUGACUGACGCUGAGACGCGAAAGCGUGGGGAGCAAACAGGAUUAGAUACCCUGGUAGUCCACGCCGUAAACGGUGAGUGCUAGACGUCGCGGGUAUUGACCCCCGCGGUGUCGAAGCUAACGCGUUAAGCACUCCGCCUGGGGAGUACGGCCGCAAGGCUAAAACUCAAAGGAAUUGACGGGGG